rnacentral:rRNA from 1 species
CAGUAGCCACGGGAAUACAGAGGGUGCGAGCGUUAAUCGGAUUUACUGGGCGUAAAGCGUGCGUAGGCGGCUUCUUAAGUCGGAUGUGAAAUCCCUGAGCUUAACUUAGGAAUUGCAUUCGAUACUGGGAAGCUAGAGUAUGGGAGAGGAUGGUAGAAUUCCAGGUGUAGCGGUGAAAUGCGUAGAGAUCUGGAGGAAUACCGAUGGCGAAGGCAGCCAUCUGGCCUAAUACUGACGCUGAGGUACGAAAGCAUGGGGAGCAAACAGGAUUAGAUACCCCGGUAGUCCCUGUCUCUUAUAA